CUGAUCGGGGUUGCGGACAGUGUCUGGUGGGUAGUUUGACUGGGGCGGUCUCCUCCUAAAGAGUAACGGAGGAGCACGAAGGUUGGCUAAUCCUGGUCGGACAUCAGGAGGUUAGUGCAAUGGCAUAAGCCAGCUUGACUGCGAGCGUGACGGCGCGAGCAGGUGCGAAAGCAGGUCAUAGUGAUCCGGUGGUUCUGAAUGGAAGGGCCAUCGCUCAACGGAUAAAAGGUACUCCGGGGAUAACAGGCUGAUACCGCCCAAGAGUUCAUAUCGACGGCGGUGUUUGGCACCUCGAUGUCGGCUCAUCACAUCCUGGGGCUGAAGUAGGUCCCAAGGGUAUGGCUGUUCGCCAUUUAAAGUGGUACGCGAGCUGGGUUUAGAACGUCGUGAGACAGUUCGGUCCCUAUCUGCCGUGGGCGCUGGAGAACUGAGGGGGGCUGCUCCUAGUACGAGAGGACCGGAGUGGACGCAUCACUGGUGUUCGGGUUGUCAUGCCAAUGGCACUGCCCGGUAGCUAAAUGCGGAAGAGAUAAGUGCUGAAAGCAUCUAAGCACGAAACUUGCCCCGAGAUGAGUUCUCCCUGACUCCCUGAGAGUCCUGAAGGAACGUUGAAGACGACGACGUUGAUAGGCCGGGUGUGUAAGCGCAGCGAUGCGUUGAGCUAACCGGUACUAAUGAACCGUGAGG
rnacentral:rRNA from 1 species